GUUAUUUUAUCUGCGUGCCAACAACGUACUUGAAAAUAAACUGUGUUUGUUGCGUUUUACUCCAGGGCUUGUACGCUGCUUAAUAGAGUGUAGAGGAGAAUGACAGUUUUGUUUUGAGCCUUUGAUCUCCAAAGGCAGGAACUCAUUUUCCGUAGCUUAUCAUUAUCUUAAAAAAAAACUUAGUAUUUGAUACGGUGGAAGCAGGUGCCUCUUCUACAGCUUUAAACAUACUUUGGUUUUGUAACAUUUCAUUAUUUUAUUUUAUUUUAAUUAUUUAUUUUUAAUAGAGAGUGAUUAUUUUGUUUAACUUUUUAAUUAAGUCUCUCAAAUUUCCUUCUUUUCUCUCUUGUACGGUAGCUUCGUCUCUCUCUCUCUUGUCAAAAACAUGUCGUUGAUCAUCAUUUCCACCAUCAAAAAGAUUUUCUACUUGUUCUCUUUACUGUUUUUGGUAUUAUUGAAAAAAAAAAAUCUUCUUUGGAUAGAUUUUCGAUGUAAGACUAUUUAGAUUCUAAAAUUACAUUAAAUCUUCUUUGGAUAGAUUUUCAUUAGAUUUCCAUGAUAUAGAUUUUCUAUAUUUUAUAUGUUAUUUGGAAUGCCUAUCAAGUAUUUAAUCUAAUGCCUAAAAGAAUAUAGAUAUAAAAUUUUGUUUCUGAAUUUGGUCUAUAUUUGGAUUAUAAUUAGCAAAUAUGUUCCUAUAUAACAAAAAAUUAUCCUUUUGAAUAUCUAAACCUUUAUUUUCAAUUUUUCUUUAAAAAUUUAAUCCUAUUCAUGUUGCAUUAUCUUUUGAACAAGAUACCCCAUCCAAUUCUUCUUUUUAAUUGAUAGUUUUUAUUCCUCAAUUUAUUAUAUUCUUCUUUUUGUUUUCUGUAUGAGAUUGACCUUUUAGCAACUUAGACUUGUGCCAGUACUAUUUGAGCCUAUCCAAAUUAUAAUAUUAGGAUUUGCUUUAUUUCUUAAAGUGUUGUAUUAGAUGUAUUGGACGAUCUAUUAGAAACUCAAUCGGAACUUAAUAAGUUUUGGCUAUUUUUGUAUUUUGAUUUUGUAAUGAAAUUUUGGUUCUUAUAUUUGUUCCGUUGAUUAAUUUGAUAUCUGACAAUUUACCAAUCAAUACUCGGGUUAAUUAGAGAUAAGUGAACUAAUGUCUGUUAAUUAUUUUGGUAAAAAUUUUAGCAAUAUAUUAGAAAACAAAAACUCCCUAUUGUUUAGAUUUUUUUAAAAAAUCGGUUGAGUGUGCUUAUAUAAAUUACAAAUUGUCGAGAGAUUUCAAAAAGGCUUUGAUCAGCAUAUGGGGAUGGGACCGAGUGAACGCUAGACACAGAGAUUCGUUUGUUUUAGAGCUAUUGUUAAUAAAUUAGAUAGUUUAAUAAGUUUAAACUUAAUUUGUGACUGACAUUUUAUAUUUUAGUUUGGUUAGAAUUAUUAUGAAAUUUGAUGAAUUUAGCGAUUAUUUUUUAAAUUUUCAAUAAUAGAUUUAGUUUUGUGGAUUCAAAUCGGAUUGAUAUUUAACUUAAAUUCGUAAUAGAUUAUUUUGCUCGAUAUUUGUAUUUUUUUUUAUCACCUUAUAGUUUUGUAAUUGAAUAAUUAUAAAUAUGCAGUAUCUCUUGCGUCUCAGGUUCAGAGCGUGACAUAUUCAGUUCUUUGAACUGACUAUGUUAAGAAAACAAAAUCGAUAUUUUCUCUUUAUGCUGUUCGAAGAUGGAAUUCCUACUAUUAAUGCCGUAUAUAUUAUAAUCAAAUUCACGGUGAAACUUAACUAUGAUAUAUCUUUUAUAUUUUCUGUUGGUUAUUUUCAAACACAAGAGGCCACGUGUGUUGCAGAAAAAAUGAUUAAGAAACAAAUCUAAAUUGUCAGAAUUUUUGUGAUUGUUGUGUUAAUUAAAAUUGGCAAGAAACUGGACAGGGAAAGGUUAAAUUAUCUGCAAGUAUAUUGUAUUUAUUUGUGAUUUGAAUCUCCUCUCUCUAGUAAUAGUAAAUUUUAGGAAAAACUUCAAAUAUCAUCUCCGUGAUUUUACGCUUCUCACUUUCAUACCAUGUGGUUUAAAGUGCAUAAAUUUAGUGCCGUGUAAUUUUUUUUUUAUCUUUUUUAUUAUCGAUUUCAUUAAUUUUUUCAUUAAAUUAGCGACAAAGUUAAAACAAAAGAAUAAUAAAGUAAAUAUUCGAUAAAUCUAGGUGGGGUAUCUGAAAUUUUUUGUAUAUAAUUUAACCAAAUAUUAACAAAAAAGCUGACGAAAAGAUAAAAAUAAAACGACAGUACACUAAAUUGAUACACUUUAAAACACAGGACACUAAAGUGAGAAAGUGCGAAAUCAUAGAAUUGAUAUUUGAAGUUUAUCCUAAAUUUUACUCUGGAUAUAUUAAUUCCCCUAAGAAAGAAUAUUAAAGUAACCAAUUUUUGCUGCAAUUAAUAUCUGCAAUGAAUGAUUCAACUCCAAGAAGGUAAAAAUGUAUGGAGACUCCCUCAACUAUAGCGCAUUUUGAUCAGGGCUCAACUUCCAUGUCUUUGAUUGAGAUUCCUUAAGUUCUAUUUUAUUUUUGAGCAAUUGCUUAUAUACCCCUAAAAAGUCUCUAACUUUUCGAUUUACCCCUCUUAGAUGGCUAAUAUUGAAAAUACACUUUCUACGUUCAAAUCUAUUUCUAAUAUACCCCUAGAGUUAAAAUCUGUUAAUGAACUUUGUUAUCUUUGUAAAACUACUAUUUUGCCUUUUCAAAUAUACCCUUCCACCAUCACUGACUUUCUUAUUUGCCCUUAAAGUCAGGGGCACAAAAAGUAUUUUGACUUUUGGUCUUUUUCAAUAUACCCAUCUACCGUAACCAACAUUUCUUAUUUGCCCUUAAGUUAAUGGCAAAAUUGGUAUUUUAAUUUUUUUUAACUGUGGUAGAUAUUUAACUCAGGUUUAAUCCAAGUUAACUUAAUAGGAGAUAACUGCAAGGGUAUUUUACAAUAACGGUCGAACAUAUGAGGGAUAUUUUAGAAAGAAAAAAAAUAAAGAUAAAUCAGAUAUUUUCAAACGUGCGAGGGGUAUAUAGGCAAUUAUUCCUUUAUUUUUUUUGUUUGAGUUUUUAUACGUAUUUUAAUUAAAAAAAAAUUACCAAACAUAACGGUUGUUAGUUUUGAAAGGUAAAUUCUUUAAAUUUGGUUAAAUCAUCAAUAAAUUUGAUAAAAUUCCUAAAUAGUGUCAAAUCACUUUAUUUUGAAAACUUAAAAUAUAGGGAGGUCUCAACCAAAAGAAUAAAAGGUUUAGAGGCCCAUUUCAAAGAGGCCAGUAGUUGCGAGGUUCUCUAUAUAUUUUAAUCUUGAAAAAAAAAAAAAAAAAUCUACUUGUACACUCACGAAGGGGAUGCAGAUCUUAUACCCCUCAUAAUAGGAUUCAAAAAAAUUUAAAUAACUUUUAAUAAAAAAAUUAAUGCAAUCAGGAAUGAUAAUUUUUUGAUGAAAAAAGUAUAAUAUGUGCAUUCUUAUGAAACUUAAUAUAUUUCUACAAAACUUAAGUUAUCAAAUUUAUUCCACCAAAGUCCUUUCAUCAACAAAUUUAUCCUUCUGUUACCAAAAUUUCGAUAACCAUGUGUUAAAAAAGCUAAUCGCAGUUAGCUAAAGAGUAAAGUGACCUUUUUUACCCCUUAUAUAUAUAUAUAUAUAUAUAUAUAUAUAUAGAGUUGGGCUGUGGCUAUAUUAGCUAGACAAAUUCAUUGUUGCUACCAGUUUUUUACCUUUGGAUCAUCUUUUCAUUAUUUCUAACAUUGGAUUAAUGUCAUACACAGUGGGAACACUAACUAGAGGGACACUCAACUCUAACCAACUAAUUAUCAUCCUGCUCUAUAAUUUUUAUCAAGGGUUAAAAACUUGAUGAAAAAGGAACGUUUUACUAUUAAUAGUAUUCAGAAUAAUUCUAUAUAUAUAUAUAUAUAUAUAUAAAAUUUGUAUUUCAAUAUCGAGUCCCGUCCUCUUUCUCACCCUCUUCUCUUUAUCCAUAGUGAAGGCAGGACCUACAGUUGCGACGAUGUCGAAAGCGAGGCCCUCAGUGGCUGCAAAAAUAAGGUAGGCCGCACGUGUCGCGAUGAUGGCGAGGAGGGAGAGAAAGAAAGAUAACUCUUUAUAGGGAUAAAUUUGUAAGGGCAAAAUAUUUAUUUUAUGCACCCAUCGUUAAAAAAUUAGAAUUAAUUGCAUAUAGAUCCCUACAAAUAUAGUAAAUUAUAAAUAUAUUCUUACAAAGUUCAAUUUUUAUAUGUUAUUCUUAUAAAAAAGUUCUAAUAUUUUCAAAUUAGAAUUCGUUAAAAAAAUUGAAUUCGUUAAAAUCUCUUAACUUUUAGAAUUUUCAAAUUAGAAUUCGUUAAAAUCUCUCAACUUUUAGAAUUUUCAAAAUUAGAAUUCGUUAAAAAAAUUACAUGUUAAAUACUUAACCCUGGCUAGUUUAUAAAAUAACUUGAUAUUUUUACCCUUUUUAUAUUAUAUUAUUGUGCCUUUUGAAGGGAUAUAUUUGUGAUGGCAAAAUUGAAAAAAUAAACAGUUCUUUAAUGGUAACAAACUAGAAAAAUAUAUUUGAAAAUAUUAGAACUUUUGUAGGAACAACAUAUAAAAGUUGAACUUUGUAGGAAUCUUUAUGCACUUAAUCGAAAAAACUAACGAUGAAUCAAACGGUAGAGAUAUAUUUGAAUGAAACAUAACUUUUGGAGGGAUAUAUUUGUAACUUAGAGAAUUUUGGAAGGAAUAAAUGUGAUAACUUAAAUUUUAUAGAAAUAUAUAUUUAAUAUUUUAUAUCUUUGUAGGGACCUACAUGAAAUUAACCCUAAUAUAUCUUGCUAUAAAUUUGGGGUAGUUUUGAUGAUAGAGUCCGAAUACGAGAUUUAUUAGGAUUUUCUUCGUUUUGGAGGCCCAACCAGGCCAGACGAAUCGGGUCGGAUUCACAAGGCAAUCCUGGUCCGACCCACAAAAAUUUUGCCUUUCCUAGUUCUUAUUUCUUAAAUAAAAGCUGGAUUGCAUGGUCAUAACCUUUUCUUUUUUUUUUUUUCUCUCCUUAUGUAUUUUAUCCAGCUACGUGAAUUCUCAGAGAGAGAGAGUACUGAGUGUAUUAUUAAAACUAGAUUUUUUUUUUUUUGUAUUUUAUUUUUGUGAGAAUAAAAAGUUAUGCGCGGUCUCUGUUCGCAAAUAGAGGAUAUAGUUGAACCGUGUAAAUAGGUUGUUUAUGUGAUUUAGUUUUUUUUUUUUUUCUAUUUUUCAAUUCUUCUUGAUUUUUUUAUGCCUGAUGGAGGAAAAAAUUUUAACUUUUGUUGCAACAAAAGCUAUAGCAUCCAUUUGAUCCAAAAAAAAAAGAAAGAAAAAGAAUAAGAGUGGACUACGAAAAUUGUACUAUUUAAAAAGUUACAACUUAAUUUUAAAUGAAGUUAUAUAGUGUAACUUAAGUUUCAAUCAGUGCAAUUUUUUUUCUCCUUUCUUCUCUACUUUUAGCCUUUUUUUAGCCGUCGUGGCGCGUAGUGACUUUCUCGAGAGAAUGAAAAAUAAAUAUAUUUUUCUUUAUUCUUCUUUUUCUUCACUCUUUACAUCCUUUUUACUACAAUCUUCCUCGCCCUCUACUGCAACAGCUGCCCCCACCGUGACAGCUCAUCUUUUCCAGUCUCAUCAAAUCUUGCGGAGUCGCAGUCCAAAUCCACACCCUUCGCCGCAGUCUCACUUUCGUGAUCUGUGUCGUAUCUUAAGCCCACAUUGCCGUUGCCGUUGCUGCCGCCGCCGCUGCCGCCAAUGCGAGUAGAGGUGUGGGCGAGAUAAGGAAGAGGAACGUGUCAUCAACAUGAAGAUGCUGAAGGAAGAGGAGGAAGACCUAGAGAAAACGAGAGGACAAAGAGAAGAAGAAUGAUCAGUUUAAUAAAAAUUCAAAUUUAAUCCAUAAAACUUAGCAAAAUAAUUUAUUUUUAUAAAAAUAUAUAAUAAGCAAAUGUUUUAAUGCAAAUAAGCAUUUAUGUAUAAGUGUACUCGGAAAUUAAUGCUGUUCUAUGAGAUAUACAUUUUUAUUCAAAAUUGUAAACGCGUAGACCCUCCGCCUUAAAUACUUUAAUUGCCACCACCUGGAGGAAGGUAUCCAACAUUUAUUUCCUAUAAAAAUAAUACCAUCAAAUUAAAUAUUUUAAAAUAUAUUAAAAAUAAAAGUAAAAAAAAAUAAUUUCUAGUCAUCAUUCAAAUAUAGAAUUGUGAUUGUUAUCUUAUAUUUUUUUAUUAUUUCACAAAAUUCUCUAAAAUUAAUUCAAAUAUAUAUUUUUAAAUAAUAUAGUUAUUAGUCUUUUUAAAGAGCUGAGCUUCAGCAUCAUGUAAAAGUAAAAAAAUAAAAAAAUAUGACAGUGAUACGGUGAUACUGCAUUGUUUAUAUCUUUAAAUUAACUAAUUAAAUUUGUCAUUAAAACUUAUCCGUUUCAUUACAAUUUUUUUAAAAAAAUAUUUAUAUAUUUUAAAAAUAUUAUUUAAUUUAAAGAUACAGAAAAGUAAUGUUACUGCUAGAUUAAAAAAACCUGCCUCGUAGAGAUAAGGAUGGAUGCUACCAGAGACCUUAUAAUUAUCACCAUAAAUAUCAAUGUCCAGGUGACUUGAGGCAACUGUCGCAUCACCAUUAAUGGCUCGUUCGAGCCAAAAAAAAAAAAAAAAAAAAUGCUACAACAAAUUUACGAUAUUUACUCCACAAUAUUUUUAUUUAACUCAUACUUAUUAAUAUAUUUAACGAUAUUGUUUGAUAAUUACCGUUAAAUUUUAUUUCUAAAAACUUUAAAUAUUCUAGUUCAAUUUUAACGAUGUGGAUCGUUGAUUUAAACACCGUAAGAUCAAAAAUAGGACUAUAGUACCAGAGCUUCGGUACUAUAGAAAAUAUAGGAGACUAGCUCAUAUAGAAUUAAGCUACUAUACUAUCUAUAGUACCGCAACUCCGGUACUGUAGUCUUGUUUUUGAUCUUAGGGUGUUCAAAUUAAAGAUUCACAUCGUUAAAUAUGUUUAGGAUAUAUGAAGUACUUAUAAAAAAAAAUUUAGUUUUUUUCGAUAUCGUUUAUUUAGUAAAUAAAUUAUGUCAGAAUGGACGAUGGAAAUUGAAUAACCUUUAAAAUUUGAGUAUAGAACUUUUAAAUUCAAGAUCAAGAAUGUUAACCUUAAUCUGAAUAAUUUAAAAUAUUUUCUAUCAAAAUUUGAAGAAAUUUAGAUUUUUCUAUACCGUUAAACUCCAAACUCGCCAUAGUAGUCAUUAAAAAUUGACAAUUUUAAAAUGGUUUGAUCAUAAAGUAAACUAUGUUGAAAAAAUAUAAAAUUUUAUUUCUAAAAACUUUAAAUACCCUAGAUCAAUUUUAACGGUGUGGAUUGUUGAUUUAAACACCUUAGGAUCGAAAACAGGAGCUCCGGUACUAUAGAUAGUAUAGAAGACUAUCUCAUAUAGAAUUAGGCUACUAUACAAUCUAUAGCUCCGGUACUAUAGUCUUGUUUUUGAUCUUAGGGUGUUCAAAUUAACGAUCCACACCGUUAAAUAUAAUCUAGAAUAUAUGAAGUUUUUAGAAAUAAAAUUUUAGUUUUUUUCAACAUCGUUUAUUUAGUAAAUAAAUUAUGUCAGAAUGGACGGUGAAAAAUGAACAAUCUUUAAAAUUUAAGUAUAGGACUUUUAAAUUCAAGAUCAAGAAUGUUAACCUUAAUCUGGAUAGUUUAAAAUAUUUUCUAUCAAAAUUUGAAGAAAUUUAGAUUUUUCUAUACCGUUAAACUCAAAACUCGCCAUAGUAGUCAUUAAAAAUUGACAAUUUUAAAAUAGUUUGAUCAUAAAGUAAACUAUGUUGAAAAAAUAUAAAAUUUUAUUUCUAAAAACUUUAAAUACCCUAGAUCAAUUUUAACGAGUGUGAAUCUUGAUUUAAACACCCCUAAGAUCGAAAACAAGACUAUAGUAGCGGAGCUCCGAGUACUAUAGCUAUGAUAGUAAUGGAGACUAGCUCUAUAUAUAUAUAUAUAUAUAUAUAUAUAUAUAUAUAUAUAGUAGGGCUACUUGCUAUUAGGAGCACAGCAAUUUUUGUGCUCCUAAUUUUAACCGUCCAUCAAAUUUGAUGGGUGGUUAGGAGUGAAUGAGAGAAGAGAAAUUGAGAGAAAUCAAAGAGAAAGAGAAAUUGAGAAAAAUCAAUUUUCUCUAAUUACUCUCUCCCUUUUACCCUAACCACCAUCAAAUUUGAUAGACGGUUAAGAACUUAGGAGCACAAGACUGUUGUGCUCCUAAUACACAGUAGCCCUAACUCUACAUAUAUAUAUAUAUAUCUUGAUAUUAACUAUAAACAAAUAUAUUUGGUAGUUUUCCUCACCCCUCCUACCAAGGGUAUCUUGGUAAUUAAUAUAGUUGAAUAUUAACAAUAAAUAUCUUAGUAAUUUAUUAUUAGUUGAAUUUAACAAAUAAAUUUAUAUAUUAAAUUAUAAAUAAUAAUAUAAAUUUUAAAACUUAAUAGAUUAAGAUGAAUGCCCUACUAUCAACAAGAAUUAAAAUAAUUAUUAGGCUCAGAACUUUUCAAAAAAAUUUAACAGUAUACAAAAAUUUUUCAAAUUUUUUAAAGAAAGCAGUACUUUUUCUCUUUCAUAACAAAAUUCAUUAUUCGCAAAAAAUUUUAAAAAACUUAUAUCAACUAAUUAUUAUCUAGAUAUUAAUUAUAAUGUAUAUAAAUAACUUAUAAAUAACGAUGUUGAAAAUUAUUUUAAAAUUAGAGCAAUUCUUAUUUUAAUUUAAAUUUUCAUAUAUUAUAUUUAAAAAAAUAUUUAAAAUUUUACAAAAAACUAAACUCAAUUCGUGUCUUAACUAUAUAUAACCUUCAGNNNNNNNNNNNNNNNNNNNNNNNNNNNNNNNNNNNNNNNNNNNNNNNNNNNNNNNNNNNNNNNNNNNNNNNNNNNNNNNNNNNNNNNNNNNNNNNNNNNNNNNNNNNNNNNNNNNNNNNNNNNNNNNNNNNNNNNNNNNNNNNNNNNNNNNNNNNNNNNNNNNNNNNNNNNNNNNNNNNNNNNNNNNNNNNNNNNNNNNNNNNNNNNNNNNNNNNNNNNNNNNNNNNNNNNNNNNNNNNNNNNNNNNNNNNNNNNNNNNNNNNNNNNNNNNNNNNNNNNNNNNNNNNNNNNNNNNNNNNNNNNNNNNNNNNNNNNNNNNNNNNNNNNNNNNNNNNNNNNNNNNAAGAGAGAUUUCUAUCUGAUCUAGAUUAUCAUUACAUAUGUUGUAUAAUUUAAAUUAUAAAUCACAUGACAUCCGUCUCAGUUGAUGGUGAAGAUCCAUUAAUCAGACUUAAUGAAAUGUUGUUUUGAAUAAGCGUGUCCUGUCUUUUUUAUAAUGUUCGUCUUUUCGUUUUCUUAAAAUGAGUUAUGAUAGUCUAGAAUUGUGUGUGUCUUUUAGUAUUUCUAAAAGUGUCUUUUAGUUUCUCUAUGAAAUUAAAGAGUGCAUUAAUGUAUAGAGAAGAUGAAGGAUCAUUUGAGAGGCUAUAAAUAUGUAAUGAUUUUAUGAUGAAAAGCAAGUUAAGUUGAGUUGAAGUUUCUACUUUCAUUUGAGAAUAAGGAUUUCUUCUUCCUCCUAUCUCUUAGGUAGAUUUUCUGUGAGAGAAGAGUGUUGUUCAACCAUUGUGUUGGUGGAUUCCGCAUAGCGGUGAGUGUGCUCGAGUUCGACGUGAUGGAUUCUACGGCGGGUCGAGUAUUUAUCGUGUUAUAUUGGUCCUAUCUCCGCGUCCCCUUUAAGUUCUGGCAUCAACAAUAAUGUAGAAAAUUAUAUUAAAUUAGAUAUUUAUAAAAUUUUACAAAACACUAAACUUCAAUUAGUGUCUUAAGGUUAAAACUAUAAUCUUUAAUUUUACUUUUAUACCAAAAAAAUUUAAAUUAAAAGACAAAUUUGAUCAUGAAGGAGAAAAAAAAUAUAGUGUAGUAGAGUUCAUUUCUGAAAAUUAAUAACGCAAAGUUUAAAUAUGUGAAAUCAUAUAAUAGAUAAAUAUAAUUUUUUUGAAUUGUUUGGACUUAAAUUUAAAUACAUUUUUCCUCAUGGUUGAUGUUGUGGGCAUUUUCCAUCCUCUAUUAUUGAUAGGAAGUAAAUGAUUUAUUGAAAAGAGUAUUCAUCUUGUGUAUGAUAUUCUCUAUAAGCCAAUAUUAAAAAAAAUAGUAAAUAGUUUAUAUUUAAUUUUAAAUUUUAAAAUAAUUUUUUUAAAAAAUAUAAUUUUUAUAAAUAGUUUUUUCUAAUAGCACAUAUUAUAGAGGUUUAAAUUGUAAUUUUAAAUUUAUCAAUUAGAAUGAUUGUGCUUUAUAUAUAUGGUUCAACGAACUUUAUUCUUCUGUACAUUAAGGAAGGUGGUGCCCAAGAAAUGUAUGUGCUCAUAGAAAUGAAUAGUUUAUAGUUUCUUCAAUUAGUAGAGAAAGAAAAAAAUUAUGUGCAAUCCUUUUAUCUUUAAAGCAUCAGAGAAAUGGAGAUUUAAAUAUUUUCUUCUACAAACAAAAUAUUAGAAUUUUUUCAAUUAAUAAAGAAAUAAAAAAUUUAAUAUUUGAUUUCUUCAUCGUCUUAGCAUCCGAUAAAUGUGGUGUGAAGGAUCGAGAUGUAUCUUCUCCAAGAUACGAAAAAUUUCCUCCAAGAAAUGAAGAGUUAAGAGUUUUGACGAAAAGGUAUCUUUUCUAAAAAAAGAAAAGAUUUAUCCAAAAAACGAAGAGAUUGAGGAGAUAUAUUUUGUCCAAGAAAGAAAGAGGUUUCUUAAAAAAAUAAAAAGGUUGAAUAAAAAAGUGUAUACUUUAAAUAAAUGCAAUUAAUAAUUAUUAAAUAUUUAUAAAUUAUUUAUUUUUAUUAUUUCUAUUUUUUUUCUAUAUAAGUUGCCAUAGGCGAUGACAUCAAUUAGAACUUGAAUUUGAAGAGAAAAGAACUAUUAGAAGAAAAUAUCCUGAAUAUUAUGUAAAUUUUAAUCAAUUUAGUGAUAUUUAUUUAAUUGGUCUUCAUACACUUACUGAACAGUUAGUUUUGUAAAAUUAUUUUUUUAAAUUUUUUUUGUUAAUAUGUAUUUUUUUUGAAUUUUUUUUAAAAUUGAUUAUUUACUUAUAUUUGAGUGAGUUGUAUACGAUAAAAUUGGUACUACUUAUCUUCUCUAAAAUAUGAUAUAAAAUAAUUAAUUAAUGGCUAAAUUACAUAAAACUUCCUUGUCAAAAUUCGAUUUUUUAUUUUUUUCCUCUGUCAUUUAAAAACUUAUACUUUGCCCCCUUGUAAAAUAAAAUAUAGUCAUAGGGGGUACGGUAUAAACUGUGAUGACAAAAUGACCAUUUUGCCUCUCAUCAUUUUUGUCAACAGGAGAGAAGGCUGAGGACAUUUUUUGCAUAAAAAAUAUAUAAUAAUAUUUUAUAAACGGAACCUAACGGAUCACUAACGGCAGGGAGUGAAGUGAACAUUUUUCAUUUUACAAGAGAGCAAAGUGUAGGUUUUUAAAUGACAGGGGGGGAAUGUGAAAAAUCGAAUUUUGACAGAAAAUUUUCUGUAAUUUAGCCUUAAUUAAUUAUCACUUUUAUCUUGUUAUUUUAAUAAAACUUUUGCUUUAGUACUUGACAUUUAUUUUGUAACAACAAUUGAUUACAUCCUGACCAUUAAUAUUUCUAGGAAUACAAUCGAAAGUUUUAUUUGUUCAACUAAUAGUUGUUUUUUCUUUUCUAACAAAAUUUCAUAACUCAAUUGAGAGGUACCCAUAUAAAAUAUUACAAACUAUAAACAAAAUACACAUAAGUAUUAUAUAUAGAAAAUAUAGCAAAAUAAAAAAUAUAAAUUUGAAUCAAUAAGUAAGAUUUUUUUUCUCUAAAUUAUACUCAUCGAAAAAUUUUUGAAGACGAUGACGAGGCAUCAGUGAUGAAUAUUACCGAAUCAAAGUUUUCUCGCUUUCAAAAAAAAAAGAUCAUCGAUGACGACAACUAAGACAAUAAAAUUAGAAUGAAUUUAAAUCUUCUUUUAUUACUUCAUUUUAAUCUAAACUAUUUUCAUGUAUGGAUGUUCAAAUUUAUGUUUUUAUUUUACUAUAUUUUCUAUCCAGUAUUUUGUUUAUAGUUUGUAAUAUUUUAUAAUUUUUAAAUCUGACAUUACUAUUUAAAUAUAAUAUUAUUUAUUCACUAAUUUAUUAAUUUAUUUAAUUAUAUUAGAAAAAUCUAUACGUGCAACGCACGUGCACUGACUAGUAUAUAUAUAUAUAUAUAUAUAAUCUCGUGGGACCAAGAUUAACGUGAAUUUAUUGCAUGCAAUUGCAUACUUUGUGCAAGAAAAUGUUCAAUCUGGAGGAAUAGGAGAGUAAUAUCUGAAAGCGGAAAGUCGAAGAACGCAGAAUUAAAAUUUAUGAAUUUUCUGAAUUUGAUUUUCGCCCUCUUACCCCCAUAAAGUUGAAAGAUAUAUCUUUGCAUAUUUGUUGGUGGCAGUUCAAAUAAUCUCAUAAUUUUAGUACUUAAACAAAUAUUGACACCUACGAAUUUUUCAAAGGUGAAUUUAAUCUUUGACAUUCAUAAAGCAAACGGUCUCUAUGUUUAUGCGCCACUUGUUUGUAAUAACUAGUAACAUAAUUCAUGCUUUGUACGGAGUUAUUACAAUAUUUUUAAAAUUUUAUUAAAUUAAUGGCAUUUAUUUUUAAUAUUAAAAUUAUAUAUCAUAUAAUUUUUAUGCAAUAUUAAUAAGUAAAUUUAAAUUUAUUUUUAAGUUGUAAGAACGAUAAAAAAAAUUUUGUGCUAUAUGUUGUUUAUAUAAUACAAAAAAUUUCUUUUCUAUUUUGACUUUAAAAUUGAAAAAAAUAACCUCAUUAAUUAAUAUGAAAGAAUUUGAAAAGUUAAGGAUAAUUUUUAAAUAAUUGAAUAUUUAUAAUAAAAUUAAUUUAAAUUUAUAAAUGUAAACUAGUUUAAAGUAAUCUAAAAUUAUUAUAUAGAAUAAACUAAACACAGCUAUCAAUAUCAUUCUCAACAUAUUUAGAACUUCUCAUUAAAAACGCGCCGCGUGGCGAUUUGUAAUUAUUUUGAACUAAUAACUCUCAAAAUUAUAUAUAUAUAUAUAUAUAUAUAUAUAUAUUAAAUAUAUACUAUAGCAUAUACAGCGCGCCGGGGGCUCGAUUGUAAUUCAUUUGAACUAUACUUCAAUUUUAUAUAUAUAUAUAUAUAUAUAAAUUAUGCUCCUAUACUAUUAAUAGUACCAAGCCCUUGGUACUAUUGAGUUUUUGGCUGUUGGAUGAAAGGAUGUGCGGUUAGGAUGAUAGUGGUCUCCUAGGGUUGAGUGGGUGGUUGGUUUAAUAGUAUAAUCUAACGGGUGGAAAUAAUCACAGGGUAGAUCUAACGGUAGAAAACUCUAUAGUACCAAAGGCUUGGUACUAUCAAUAGUAUAGUAGCCGGACUCUAUAUAUAUAUAUAUAUAUAUAUAUAUAUAACAGUUGUUGGAUCCAAUUUAUUAUUAUUGAUGGUUGGUAUCCAAGGUCCCAAGUUCGAAUUCUAAUUAAUUCACAUUUCCAGUUAAGUUUAUUUAUAAAUGAAAUAAACGAAGCAGGUAGCGUGCUAUCUAUCUCUAAAAAAAAAAAAAAAUUUAUUAUAUUUACUAUUUUACUAUUUACUAUUUACUAUUUACUAUUUACUGUUUAUUGCCACGUACAAGUCAUCCAUCUCUCUCUCCUCUCUUUUGUCUCAUCUUCUACGUGAACACUUGCAUCCGUUGCUCUCUCUCUCUCUUGUAACAUGAGAUAUGACGCAUAUUUGAUUGCACCCCAACCUACGAAACUAUUAGAUUGAUCAGUGGUCAGAAACCUACCAAACUAUUAGUAGUUAAGUGGUUGGAAAUUAAUAUUUACUAAAUUAUGUGAAACAUGGCACAGUCAAAAUUUAAACUAUAAGAGAACGUAUUUAUAUAUUUAAUUUACUUGAGUAAUUUAAUUUUUUUUCUACAUCAGGCACUCUUCCUUAUAAUAUGAAACAUAUAACAAUUCUUUACAAGAAUGCACGUUCGAAUGUUAAUUUUGUAGGAUAAACAUAUUUUAUAUAGAGUUCAAAUUGACUUUUUAUUAAAGCACAUGUAGAGUCUAAGUCGACUUUCUAUUAAAGUCUGAUUAGAAUUCGACUUAAUUUAAAUAGAUAUAUUUAACACUACGGUCACAUCUAGGCUUGAAACUUUUUAAUGAAACUAAUACGUUAAAUAUGGGAGGAAUUUAUAGUAGACCCAGAUUUGUAUAUGAUUAAUUGUGCCAUAUUUGAUUGAACACCAACCUAUGAAACUAUUAGACAGCUCAGUGGUCAGAAACCUACCAAACUAUUAGUAUUUGCUUAAUUAUAUGAAAUAAGCGUGGGACAGUCAAAGUUUAAGCUAUUAGAGAACGCAUUUAUAUAUUUAAUUUACUUGAGUAAUUAAUUUUUUUUGUAUCUGAGACAUUCUUUCUUAUAAUAUGAAAGAGAUAACAAUUCUUCACAAGAAUGCACGUUAGAAUGUUAAUGUUGUAGGAUAAAUGCCCUUUAUAUAGAGUCCAGCAAAUUGACUUUUCAUCAAAGCACAUAUAUAGUCUAAGUCGACUUUCCAUUAAAUUCUGAUUAGAAUUAUACUUAAUUUAAAUAGAUAUAUUCACCGCUAUGGUCCCCAAAACUUUUUAAUAAAACUAAUACGUUAAAUNUGAGUCUAUUAAAAAAUUUUGAGGCCAAACGUGAAGGAGAGUGUUGGAUAUAAAAUAAAAAUGACAUAAUUAAUCAUAUACAAUCUGAAUUUACUUUCCAUUAAAUUCUGAUUAGAAUUAUACUUAAUUUAAAUAGAUAUAUUCACCGCUAUGGUCCCCAAAACUUUUUAAUAAAACUAAUACGUUAAAUGGGAGGAAUUAAUGUAUAGUAAAUUCAGAUUGUAUAUGAUUAAUUAUGUCAUUUUUAUUUUAUAUCCAACACUCUCCUUCACGUUUGGCCUCAAAAUUUUUUAAUAGACUCAAAACAUCAAAUAGAAGGAAGUUAAAUAAUGUUAGCGAGACUGACGAGAUUCAAACUUAAAACAUUCUACCUUAAUACCAUAUAAAAUUAUAUGAGCAACCAUUGUACUAAUAAAAUUUAAUUAAGUUCUUAAUAAUUGUACCGUUUGGUUCGGGUAUAAGCAAGAACUAGCUAUUACAGGGAUAGGUACAAGUAUGAGAAUAAGAAAAAUAGUGUUUGGAUGAAAAUUGGGUUGCUCCCGAGGAUAAGAACAAUUUUAGGUAGUUUUAUAUAGAAAAUAGAAGUGUUGGUGGAAAUAACCGAGAACUAUUAAUCUCGGGUAAAAAAUUAGCGUUUGGAUAUAAAGCGAGGGAUAAGGGCCUAUUCCUAUCUCUAUCCCCUAACCAAACGCUGAUUAAUUAGAGAACGGCAAUAUAUUGUUAAAAUUAUUUUUGAUAUUAUGAGAGUAGACAUAUUGCAUUUAAUCACGAUUAAUUUAGACCCCUUUUGCUCUAGCAAUAACAAGAAUAACUUUGGUGUCCCAAUUUCUUAAUAGUUAGGUAAUUUUUAUUUAUUUUGAUGUCAGAAAUUUGAAUUUGUGUGUACGCGUAAACUAGAGGGUCAAAUUCAAUCUUCAGAUAUUUAUGUUCGGUUCGAGAACUAAAUUCUUAUUAAAAAUAACUUUUAUUACUUUUGAGGAUAAAGAAUAUUUUGACAUCAAGUAGAAUAACUAUAAAUUUACGUUGGGACAUAUGCAGAAAUAUUUUGAAGGAUAUCCUAUUAGCGUUCGGAUAAAAAGUGGAGAACAAGGUCUAAAUGCUAUUUUACUAUUUUUUUUCUUAUGAAAGCUAUUUGUUUAGAUGACAAUAAACUAUAUGAACGUAUUAAUUGAAAUGUAGGCGGAUGAGAAGACGAAAUAUUAGACAGAGAUAGGGGUGGGAAGAUGAAGCAUCAGAGAAUAGAAAAGGGAGAGAAGGUAAGAGUAAAAAAAGAACUGUUAUAUGAUAAAGUCUAUGAAAAAUACUGUAUAAGUAUAGAUAUAGAUAU
rnacentral:lncRNA from 1 species